UAUUCAUCUGCAACACAUUAGACACAUGGGACAAAAAAAGCAAAGUGCAACAAUGAUUGCAGUUUGUAUCACAGUCAACGGGAUGAGGCAGAGGUACAGUAAAGCGAGAAGAUGCCGGUGGGGUAACACAUGUAACAGAUGUAUCACAAUACAUUGAAUUCAAUAGUAAUGUCUCAUUAGAGCUAGCUAGAAGCUACUGGAGGUCAAAAUGGCAAAGACAGUUGAAACACGACAGGAUAAAAGGUCUUUGGCAGGUAUUAUGUUUGAUUAAAUACUACCUUGGCUUUGAUUCAUUUCAUUUUAUAGCUCCCAGGGAUGUAAAUGCUGAAAGCCUUCUGCUUGGACUUCAAUCCAUCUCUUUAAAAAAAUGUCAAA